UCGCUGAACUUAAGCAUAUCAAUAAGCGGAGGAAAAGAAACCAACAGGGAUUGCCUCAGUAACGGCGAGUGAAGCGGCAACAGCUCAAAUUUGAAAUCUGGUCCCUCUGGGGCCCGAGUUGUAAUUUGUAGAGGAUGCCUUCGGGUUUGGCCCCGGCCUAAGUUCCUUGGAACAGGACGUCACAGAGGGUGAGAAUCCCGUAUGUGGCUGGAGGUCUAUACCCAUGUGAAGCUCCUUCGACGAGUCGAGUUGUUUGGGAAUGCAGCUCAAAAUGGGUGGUAAGUUUCAUCUAAAGCUAAAUACUGGCGGGAGACCGAUAGCGCACAAGUAGAGUGAUCGAAAGAUGAAAAGCACUUUGGAAAGAGAGUUAAAAAGUACGUGAAAUUGUUGAAAGGGAAGCGCUUGCGACCAGACUUGCCCUUAGUUGAUCAACCGGUGUUCUUCACCAGUGCACUCGGCUAGGGUCAGGCCAGCAUCGGUUUAUGCGGUUGGAAAAAGGCCGUAGGAAUGUGGCUCCCUCCGGGGAGUGUUAUAGCCUAUGGUGCCAUGCAACCAGUUUAGACCGAGGACCGCGCCUCGUGCUAGGAUGCUGGCGUAAUGGUUGUAAGCGACCCGUCUUGAAACACGGACC
rnacentral:rRNA from 1 species